rnacentral:rRNA from 1 species
UACGUAGGGUGCAAGCGUUAAUCGGAAUUACUGGGCGUAAAGCGUGCGUAGACGGUUAUUUAAGUCGAUUGUGAAAUCCCCGGGCUUAACCUGGGAACUGCAGUCGAGACUGUCUAGCUAGAGUAUGGGAGAGGGAAGUGGAAUUUCAGGUGUAGCGGUGAAAUGCGUAGAUAUCUGAAGGAACAUCAGUGGCGAAAGCGACUUCCUGGACCAAUACUGACGCUCAUGUGCGAAAGCGUGGGGAGCAAACAGG